GCAAUUCUUUAUUUUUGCGUGCAAGGUUAGUUACAAUACUACCCGUAUGGCCACAACAGCCUUCCAGGUUUUCAAAUGUUUCAUGACAUCACAACAUAGUUUAGGCAUAUAUGGCAGUCUGUCGAUUCUAAUCUGUGGUGUCAGCUAGUUCUGCACAUUUUAAUAUAGUUUAUGGGUCAGUUGGUGUCAAACUGAGGCAACAUUGGAGUAAGUUUGAGGAGUGUGUCUUUUUCCCCUCCAGUGCCAGGAUUGUAGUAGUGUGGGGGGGUAAAGAACUCAAGGGUUGUCUGUUUGGAGUUGGCUGGUUGCGUGUUUGUGCCCCCUUAUAUGUUCCCUGUUGGGGUUGAUUGCGUGUGUGAAUGGUUGUCCUCAGUGACGUUUGUGUCCACAGGUGAGUACUGUGGAGUCCGCAUGUGUCAGCGUGUGUACGUUUGCGUGUAGGUAUAUGUGUGUAUAGGGGUUGUCGCUCAUUGAGCCUAUUUGUGCCUCUGCGAUCGUCCAGUGGGUUGGGAAUUGACUCCUUACCGAGGAGG